rnacentral:rRNA from 1 species
CCUACGGGUGGCAGCAGUGAGGAAUAUUGGUCAAUGGACGAGAGUCUGAACCAGCCAAGUAGCGUGAAGGAUGACUGCCCUAUGGGUUGUAAACUUCUUUUAUAAAGGAAUAAAACGAGGCACGUGUGCCUUUUUGCAUGUACUUUAUGAAUAAGGAUCGGCUAACUCCGUGCCAGCAGCCGCGGUAAUACGGAGGAUCCGAGCGUUAUCCGGAUUUAUUGGGUUUAAAGGGAGCGUAGAUGGGUUGUUAAGUCAGUUGUGAAAGUUUGCGGCUCAACCGUAAAAUUGCAAUUGAUACUGGCAGUCGUGAGUACAGUUGAGGUAGGCGGAAUGCGUGGUGUAGCGGUGAAAUGCUUAGAUAUCACGAAGAACUCCGAUUGCGAAGGCAGCUUACUAAACUGCCACUGACAUUGAUGCUCGAAAGUGUGGGUAUCAAACAGGAUUAGAUACCCCUGUAGUC